AGAGUUUGAUCAUGGCUCAGGACGAACGCUGGCGGCGUGCCUAACACAUGCAAGUCGUACGGGCUUGAGGGGCAACUCUCGAGUCAGUGGCGAACGGGUGCGUAACACGUGAGCAACUUGCCCUAUGGUGGGGGAUAGCCGGCCCAACGGCCGGGUAAUACCGCAUAUGGCGCUGAGGUCACAUGGCCUUGGUGGGAAAGCGGCCGCAAGGUCGCGCCAAAGGUGGGGCUCGCGGCGUAUCAGCUAGUUGGCGGGGUAACGGCCCACCAAGGCUACGACGCGUAGCUGGUCUGAGAGGAUGGCCAGCCACAUUGGGACUGAGAUACGGCCCAGACUCCUACGGGAGGCAGCAGUGGGGAAUAUUGCGCAAUGGCCGAAAGGCUGACGCAGCGACGCCGCGUGUGGGAUGAAGGCCUUCGGGUUGUAAACCACUGUCGGGGGGGGCGAAUACUCGGCUUCGAACAGGAGACCGAGGGUGACGGUACCCCCAAAGGAAGCACCGGCUAACUCCGUGCCAGCAGCCGCGGUAAUACGGAGGGUGCGAGCGUUGUCCGGAAUCACUGGGCGUAAAGGGCGCGUAGGCGGCCGUGUAAGUCACUUGUGAAAUCCCGGGGCUCAACUCCGGGGCUGCAGGUGAGACUGCAUGGCUAGAGCUCGGUAGAGGCAAGUGGAAUUCCCGGUGUAGCGGUGGAAUGCGUAGAUAUCGGGAAGAACACCGGUGGCGAAGGCGGCUUGCUGGGCCGUAGCUGACGCUGAGGCGCGAAAGCGUGGGGAGCAAACAGGAUUAGAUACCCUGGUAGUCCACGCCGUAAACGAUGGGUACUAGGCGUCGGGGGGAGCGACCCCCUCGGUGCCGUCGCUAACGCAGUAAGUACCCCGCCU
rnacentral:rRNA from 1 species